rnacentral:rRNA from 1 species
UACGUAGGGGGCAAGCGUUGUCCGGAAUCAUUGGGCGUAAAGGGCGUGUAGGCGGUCCGCUAAGUCUGAUGUGAAAGCCCGAGGCUUACCCUCGGAAGUGCAUUGGAGACUGGCGGACUUGAGUCCCGGAGAGGAGGGUGGAAUUCCUGGUGUAGCGGUGAAAUGCGUAGAUAUCAGGAGGAACACCGGUGGCGAAGGCGGCCCUCUGGACGGUGACUGACGCUGAGACGCGAAAGCGUGGGGAGCAAACAGG